GCAGCUUCUGAGCGAGGCCAGCCCAGCCCUGGUGCUAAAUACCACUGGUCCAGCGCUUACCACGUGUCAGGCCUGGGGUGAAAGGCUCAGCAGGCUUUGCAUCCCACAGCUCCUGGGACCUGGCCAGGGGAUGUGCAGGAGGGAGUCUCAGAGACAGCCUGGGGCGCGGGUCAGCUCUGCUCCCCGCUGACUGUGGACUCCGGGCAGGGGCACCCCUCUCUGGGCCCAAAUCUCAUCAUCUGUCAGAUGCCACAAUGAGAGGCCCCACCUCAAGGGGAAGUUGUGACCGGUUGACAACGGGGUGGCUGUCCAGUGUGUAGAAGGAUGCGUGGCUCAGCAGCGGCCAGAAUGGCUCCAGUCCUGCGCUGUGGACCAGGAGACCAAGGCUCAGGGGCCCCAUGGCAGCAGCAGGCCACCCAGGUCCUCACUCGCAGGCCUGGGGGGAGUGGGCGCUGGGACAGGGUCUGUAGGGAGAAGCAGCUCUGGGAAUGAGGAGGGGGCUGUGGGUAGAACCCCCUGGGUCUGGGGUCCCUGUUGCCCUGGUUGCAGCAGACAAGGGGCUGCUGAGGUGGCCCUCCAGAGGCGUGACACAACCCUCCCCCUCUACUGGGGAGUGACUGGGCAACCCCUUCAGGUCCUCUGGGGAGAAUGAUUUUUCUUUAUGAAUUUUCUUUCUUUUUUUUUUGGUCUUUUUAGGGCUGCCCCCGUGGCAUAUGGAGGUUCCCAGCCUAGGGGUCGAAUUGGAGUUGUAGCCGCCGUACUACACCCCAGCCACAGCAACGCCAGAUCCGAGCUGCAUCUGCAACCUACACCACAGCUCACGGCAACGCGGGAUCCUUAACCCACUGAGCAAGGCCGGGGAUUGAACCCGCAACCUCAUGGUUCCUAGUCGGAUUUGUUUCCACUGUGCCAUGAAGUGAACUCCUGGCUCGUCUUUUUCUGUCUCAAUCCCGAAUUCCCCAAAAGCAGCAUUUGGUGUCACCUGCUCAGGGCAGUUGUCCACCUUCUGUCCAUGACACCAUGGCCAGGGGAGGUCUCACGUCCCACGACCCUGCCCUGUGCUCCCUGCCCCUUCUGCUCAGCCCAGCGACAUUUCCUAGCCUCAGCUUCCCCUGGAGGUUUGGUCCCCCUGAGGAGACCCCAGGUACAGGCCAGACCCCAGCUACUGGGCCCCACCUUCCUUGUUUUCAUGGACUGAGAUGAUUCCUUCUGUGUUUGUAUUUUUUCAGAGGGGGAUACCGUUGAUGGCAGAGCCAUGCUAGGGACAGGGGCCCAACUUCUGACUGGGGCUUUAUUCCUGGGGCUGCUACAGGCAGAGAGGAGCCCGCCCACACCUUCCUCACCCACCUCCACUGAAGGGUCACUUUGAUGAAAAGUCCAAGGACUGUGCUAUCUAGACCCGUUCUCAGUGACUGAGGCUGGAGAAUGACCAGUCAACCCAAGGCCACCACAGGGCAAUGAGGCCUGCUUCUGUCACUGAGCAUUUCUCCCAGAGGUGGCAACCUCACCUCAGUUACCCCAAAUAGUCUUUCAUCAGACCCCUGGACUUGUCUUCCCAUAACCACCAGAGGGCGUAGAGGACGCGAAGCCCUGUAGGAGAUGGCAACGAGGCCUGGUCCUGCUCCCCUUGUGGCCAAUUCUGGGAUCGCACCUUUGGGCUGGCACCUGCCCAUCUGCAUAAUGGGUUUAGCAUUCAAGGAUCUGAAGAUUGGCAGAUAGGGAAAAUCACACCUCUCAGGGGAAGGGGCCUCAGGCCAGGAACCCUUGCCCCCGUCUUGGUCAUGCUCAGUUCAUGGCAUGUGCCCUGUGGCGUUUGGUGGCAGUAGAACUGUGACCUUGGGCAAGCCCUGGGAAGUCAGUUACCCUUCAGGGAUGGGAAGGUUGCACAAAGCUGACAUGCGCAGUUGAUGUGUGAGGGGUAUUUUUCUGCAGCCAGUGGGCUCUGCUGUCUCUUCUCAGAUUCCCUGCUUGGGGUCCAGCUGGGCUCCCAGAGUUCACGGUCAAAAGCUGCAGGAAGUAUGAAGGGAAGAGAGUCGUGAGAACGGCAAGAUCCCUCCUCCCUGGGGGGCGGGGAGGACUCCCUGGAGAGAACGAACCACAGCAGGGGCUUUGAAGAUUAGGAGGAUUCUGGUUUGCUUUUUUUGUUUGUUAGACUGUUAAAUUUUAAAAUUUCAUUUCGAUUAUGCAGAUGAUUUUUAUUGUACAUAAACAGAACCUAGAGAUAAACAAAAAGACGAUACCGAUUAUUCCCAGCCUCGUCACUCAGAUGAAAAAAUUUGAAAGUCAAGGAGUACAGUGGGUUAAGGAUCUAGCAUUGUCACUGGAGUGGCUUGGGUUGCUGCUGUGGCACAGGUUCGAUCCCUGGCCUGGGAACUUUCACGUGCCACGGGGGUGGCCAAAGAAAUUUUGUUUUAAAUCAAAGAUUAAAAAUUCUUUGGAGUAUCGCCUACUAGUUUAUGUUUUAUGUAGCCUACAUAUAGCAUGUGUGCCUACUAUAUGUAGAUAUACACGCACAUAAAAUAUGUAAAUUUAUAUUUAUAUAUAACUCAUAUAUAUAAUAAAUACAUAUAUUUAUCUAAUACUUGAACAGAACCUAUUUUGUGGCAAGCACAGUUUUAAGCACUUUACAUAUAUUACCUCAUUAGUCUUUUCAACAUCCCUAUAAAUUAGGUACAAACAUUUCCCUUUUAAACUUGAGAAAGCCGAGGCAUCUGAAAGGUUAAGCGACAGAAUUCCCACUGUGGCUCAGUGGUAACAAACCUGACUAGUAUCACCGAGGACGUGGGUUUGAUCUCUGGCCUUGACCAGUGGGUUAAAGGAUCUGGUGUUGCUGUGAGCUGUGGUGUAGGUCACAGACGUGGCUUGGAUCCCACAUGGCUGUGGCUGUGGUGUAGGCCGGCAGCUACAGCUCCGACUGGACCCUUAGCCUGGGAACCAUUAUAUGCUGCAAGCGUGGCCCUAAAAUAAUAAUAAUAA
ensembl:lncRNA